rnacentral:rRNA from 1 species
GACGAACGCUGGCGGCGUGCCUAACACAUGCAAGUCGAGCGGGUUGAAGCGAGAGGUAACUCGAACUUCUACCUAGCGGCGGACGGGUGAGUAACGCGUGGGCAACCUGCCUCAAGGUCUGGGAUAACAGCCCGAAAGGGCUGCUAAUACUGGGUAUGCUUGUGGCCUCGCAUGGGGCUAUGAGCAAAGGGGAAACCCGCCUUGAGAUGGGCCCGCGUCCCAUCAGCUAGUUGGUGAGGUAACAGCUCACCAAGGCGACGACGGGUAGCCGGCCUGAGAGGGUGACCGGCCACACUGGGACUGAGACACGGCCCAGACUCCUACGGGGGGCAGCAGUGGGGGAUCUUGCACAAUGGGCGAAAGCCUGAUGCAGCGACGCCGCGUGAGCGAAGAAGGCCUCGGUUGUAAAGCUCUGUCUGGAGGGACGAAGGAAGUGACGGUACCUCCGGAGGAAGCCCGGCUAACUACGUG